GAGUUUGAUCAUGGCUCAGAACGAACGCUGGCGGCAGGCUUAACGCAUGCAAGUCGAACGCCCCGCAAGGGGAGUGGCAGACGGGUGAGUAACACGUGGGAACGUGCCCAAAGGUACGGAACAACUCCGGGAAACUGGAGCUAAUACCGUAUGUGUCCGUAAGGAGAAAGAUUUAUCGCCUUUGGAUCGGCCCGCGUCGGAUUAGCUAGUUGGUGGGGUAAUGGCCUACCAAGGCGACGAUCCGUAGCUGGUUUGAGAGAACGACCAGCCACACUGGGACUGAGACACGGCCCAGACUCCUACGGGAGGCAGCAGUGGGGAAUCUUGGACAAUGGGCGCAAGCCUGAUCCAGCCAUGCCGCGUGGAUGAUGAAGGCCUUAGGGUUGUAAAAUCCUUUCGUCAGGGACGAUAAUGACGGUACCUGAAGAAGAAGCCCCGGCUAACUUCGUGCCAGCAGCCGCCGUAAU
rnacentral:rRNA from 1 species